rnacentral:rRNA from 1 species
CCCGACCGCUAUCGGGGUGGGGCUAACCCAUGGAAGUCUAGGAGCCGGGGGCACGGCCGGCUCCGGCGGACGGCUCAGUAACACGUGGCUAACCUACCCUCGGGAGGGGGAUAACCCCGGGAAACUGGGGAUAAUCCCCCAUAGGUGUAGACUUCUGGAAUGGGUCUACGCCGAAAGGGCUACGGCACCAUCCCUGCCGUAGCCGCCCGAGGAUGGGGCUGCGGCCUAUCAGGUAGUUGGCGGGGUAACGGCCCGCCAAGCCUAUAACGGGUAGGGGCCGUGAGAGCGGGAGCCCCGAGAUGGGCACUGAGACAAGGGCCCAGGCCCUACGGGGUGCACCAGGGGCGAAACUUCCGCAAUGCGGGAAACCGUGACGGAGCCACCCCGAGUGCCACCCGAUGAGGGUGGCUUUUGCCCGGUCUAAAAAGCCGGGCGAAUAAGCGGGGGGCAAGCUUGGUGUCAGCCGCCGCGGUAAUACCAACCCCGCGAGUGGUCGGGACGUUUAUUGGGCCUAAAGCGUCCGUAGCCGGCCCGGUAAGUCCCUCCUUAAAGCCCCGGGCUCAACCCGGGGAGCGGGGGGAUACUGCCGGGCUAGGGGGCGGGAGAGGCCGGGGGUACCCCAGGGGUAGGGGCGAAAUCCGAUAAUCCCUGGGGGACCACCAGUGGCGAAGGCGCCCGGCUGGAACGCGCCCGACGGUGAGGGGCGAAAGCCGGGGGAGCGAACCGGAUUAGAUACCCGGGUAGUCCCGGCUGUAAACUAUGCGGGCCAGAUGUCGGGCGGGCGUUAGAGCCCGCCCGGUGCCGCAGGGAAGCCGUUAAGCCCGCCGCCUGGGGAGUACGGCCGCAAGGCUGAAACUUAAAGGAAUUGGCGGGGGGGCACACAAGGGGUGGAGCCUGCGGCUCAAUUGGAGUCAACGCCGGGAACCUCUACCGGGGGCGACAGCAGGAUGACGGCCAGGCUAACGACCUUGCCCGACGCGCUGAGGGGAGGUGCAUGGCCGUCGCCAGCUCGUGCUGUGAAGUGUCCUGUUAAGUCAGGCAACGAGCGAGACCCCGCCCCUAGUUGCGACCCUGCGGGCGACCGCGGGGGCAGUGUGUACU